rnacentral:rRNA from 1 species
GGGGGAAUAUUGGGCAAUGGGGGGAACCCUGACCCAGCAACGCCGCGUGAGGGAAGAAGGUUUUCGGAUUGUAAACCUCUGUUCUUGGAGAAGAGGAGAAGACGGUAUCCAAGGAGGAAGCCCCGGCUAACUACGUGCCAGCAGCCGCGGUAAUACGUAGGGGGCGAGCGUUGUCCGGAAUAAUUGGGCGUAAAGGGCGCGUAGGCGGCCAGACAAGUCAGUAGUGGAAGUCCCAUUUUCAAGGUGGGGAGGGCUAUUGAAACUGUAGGGCUUGAGUGCAGGAGAGGUUAUCGGAAUUCCCGGUGUAGCGGUGAAAUGCGUAGAGAUCGGGAGGAACACCAGUGGCGAAGGCGGGUAACUGGACUGCAACUGACGCUGAGGCGCGAAAGUGUGGGGAGCAAA